rnacentral:rRNA from 1 species
AUGAACGAGGAAUGGCUCGGGUGCUCAUGCUGUCAUGCAUCCUCCAGCGCGCACGUUGGAGACGAGCUCGCACGAGCUGUCAACUGGGAACAAGUCUGCUCCCUGGUCGAGCACGGCUGGAAAAACCCCACUCGCCCUUGGGUGGGAACGGAGCCGCCAUGUGAUGCCUCGGACCAUGCUCUGUUCAACGCGGCAACGACGGUAACCAUUGGCAACGGCAAGACAACGACCUUCUGGCAUUGCUCAUGGCUUGGGCCGGUGCCGUUGAAGUUCUGCUUCCCAACUCUUUUCAAACACUCGAGGCGCAAGGGCAGAACUGUGGCUCAGGCUAUCAACGGCGAUCGAUGGGUUUUGGACCUCGCACAUGGCAACAUCAGCGACCUAGUCAGCGAGCACUGCCAAGGUCUGAGCCAUGUGUGCGAGUCCAACAACAGCAACUCUCUGAAAAAGGUGGAAGCCGUGGACUCCACGACACGGCCAGCUCACGCAAAAGGAAUCAAAUCUCUGAUAAUGCUUGCGCUGUGGAAAAUCUGGCAGCAAGGCAACAGCUGCGUUUUCAGGAAGAAGGAGGCGAGGAUGCGUGAUGUGAUCGACGAUGUGAUCGACGAUAUCAGGAGAGAGCUUAGCCUGUGGCAGCAGGGUGGUUUCAAAUUUCUUCAGAGCCCCUUCGGGGAUCCACCGUGGGAUUAUAGCCUAGUUCUUGGUGCCCUAGGCACUCCUCCAUUUCUUUUCUUUUGUUACCUCCUUGAUCCCUGGAUCACCGCCUUUCUCACUUUGUCCACUGCUCCCUGCUUAAUGAAUGAAACUCUAGCCAAGGCUGGCUUUUUUCAAAAAAAAAAGGUUAGCGAGUUACCGGCACGAGCAAUAUAA